rnacentral:lncRNA from 1 species
GGGGGGUCUUUUGUCUUUUUAGGGCCGCACCCACGGCAUAUGGAGGUUCCCAGGCUAGGGGUCCAAUUGGAUCUGUAGCUGCCGGCCUAAGCCACAGCCGCAGCAAUGCAGGAUCUAAGCUACACCUGCGACCUACACCACAGCUCACAGCAACGCCGGAUCCUUAACCCACUGAGGCCAGGGAUUGAACCCGCAACCUCAUGGUUCCUAGUCGGAUUUGUUUCCACUGCACCACAAUGGGAACUCCAUAUACAUAUUUUUAUAAAUGCAUAAACUGUCUAGAAUAUAUAACAAACUAGUAAAGGCAUCUACUUUCUACAAAAGUUACUGCUGCGGAAUAGAACAAGGUCACUGAGGGACGGGUUCAAGUUGGACAUUAAGUUUUCAAUGUAUAUCCUUGUGUAUCUUUUGGAUGUUGAACUGUGGGCAUCUGUUACCUACUCAAAGUAAGUGAAAAAUUUUUUAAAAAGAAAAUAUGCAUUUUACCAUACUCCAGUCAAAAAUUUUUCAUUUGUAGAGUUCUCAUCAUGGCUAAGUGGAAGCAAAUCUGACUAGCAUCCAUGAGGACACAGGUUCAAUCUCUGGCCUUGCACAGUGGGUUAAGGAUCUGGUGUUGCUGUGAGCUGUGGUGUAGGUUGCAGACUCGGCUUGGAUCUGAUGUUGCUGUGGCUGUGGUGUAGGCUGGCAGCUACAGCUCACAUUUGGCCCCUAGCCUGGGAACCUUCAUGUUCCACAGGUGCAGCUCUAAAAAGACCAAAAAAAAUCUUUUUUUUUUCAUUUGUGGCAUUAUUGAACUACUUAUUUCCUUUCAUUAUUUGUACGUUAUACAUAUUUUAUGUAAUUAUAAUAAGAGAAUUUCUUAUUAAGAUAACCUUUUCACGUCCCUGUCGUCUUCAAAACUAUUUAAAAAGUUUUUCAUAGUAUUUUGUUUAGUUCAUGUACCAGAAUUUUCUUAUCUUUUCUCCAAUGUUGGUCAUUUAUAUAUUUACAUAUUUCCUUAUUAUGUGUAACAUAGUGGUGAGUGUCUUUGUGAAUGUAUAUCCAUUUUGGUAUCUAUAAUCAGCUCUAAUGCUUUGUGGUUAUUUGGUAAGGCUACAUGAAAAUAAAAUAAGCAUUACAUGGAGUAGAGAAAAGGUCAGAAAUGGUUGUAGAUGAUUCUUUGAGAUGCCCAGGAUAAGCACAGUGAUUUUCAUUCAUUCUAACAUUUGUCUAUACGGGUAAAACAAACAGUUGUUGCUCUUUAAAUAUACAUACGGUGAAAAUUGAACUCAUAGGAAAUAAUGCACUUAAAGAAUCAUUAAUUAUUACCUAAUUACUUGCACCACUGUGGCAUGGACAGAAGAGUGCUCUGCGAUGAUGAAGUUGUCAAUUACAGUUGAUAAUUAAGGGGCCAGGUGCAUGUUUAACUUAACAAGAUAAAUAUCUGCCCAGAUGUUGUUUGUCUGCCGCUUCAUUACCAGGUAGGUUAGAAGAUUUUAAUAAACUAGAAAGACUAUUAAAUUCAUAACCCUGCUACAUCAAGAAAUCUUUAACAAAUCUGUUACUAUAGCCAAUAUUCAUUUAGGUAGGCUGUUCAUCAGCCUUCCUGCAGAGCUGAAGUAAGUAUGUGUAUGUAAUACCAUAUUUGCAGAUUCUCAGUGAAACGGCUCUUUGAAUAUAAGAUAGGGCUAAAAUAUGACAGUACUGGAGACUAAGGAAGAUGCUUUCCGGUGCCGGACUGAAGGAACGUCACAUGAGAUUUAAAUGGCAGAUUGAAAGAAGACAACAGAGAGUCAGUCAGGACGAUUCCAAGAAACCCAAGCCCAUCAGAGGUACGAGCUGAAGAUGCUGGCCCAGUGGUGUCCUAGUUGAAGGGGAGAGGUGGCGGGGGGGGAUUGCCAGCAGGUAACAGGGAAAUUGGGUCAUAUCCCUCCUUGGGUUGGUUUACCUGGUCCUCCACAACACAGUAGCACAGAGUGUGUGGCUCAGACAGCAGAGAUGGAUUUUCUCAGAGUUCUGGAGGCUGAAAGUCCAAGAUUGAGUACCAGCAGGGCUGCUUUCUCCUGAGACCUCUCCUUGGCUUGCAGAGAGCUGCCUCUGCCUGUGUCCUCACCUGGCGUUUUCUGUGUGUGUGUCCAUCUCAGGGAGCUCUUGCUCUUCUUGUAAGGACACCAGUCAUCUUGGAUUAGGGUCCCACCCUUAUUUCAGUUAGUAUUAAUUACCUCUUUAAAGAACGCUAUUUCUACAUACAGUCACGUUUGUUGUUUCAACAUGUAAAUUUGGGAGGGGACAUGAUUCAGUCUAUAACACUUCUCUCUUUAAAAGUCUUCAAAGGCCUUAAAAUGGCCUAAAAGCUCCCCCCACCCCCCAGUACAGUCCGGUUCAGUGUUGCCUCUCGAACGUUUUCUCCUAACACUCCUCACCUUGGUAUGUUCCCCUCCAGCCACACUGAUCCUCCUACUGUAUCUCUGACACCAAGCAUACCCCUGGUCAAGGCCUUCGAGCAGUGAUGCUCAGUCCCUGGGAUGCUUUGCCUGCAGAGGGCCCCAUAGCUAGUUCCCUCCCUGCUUGCAAGGUCCCUGUCCAGAGAGCUCCUUGCCAAAGAAGCCUUUUCUGACCAGCACAUGCAACACAGAACUCACUGUCUCUUGCGUUUCUUUACAGAACUUUAUGAUCUUUUUCCAUAACACUUAACAUCUUGCAAUAAAUAUACUUUUUGCUCAUUUCCAAUGUGUUCCUAGUAGAUUUAGGCAGUGAUUUACAUGAGCUCAGGGGCUUUUUCUGUUUCUGUUACUGUUACAGUAGCUAUAAAGAGAAGACAUGACUUAACAAAAGAAAGACAAUCCCAUUGAUAGGAGGUGUUAGCAGCAAUCAUCGAAGACAGAAGACAAUGGAAUAAUGUUUUUAGUUGGUUGAUAGAAAAUAAUGAUGAACUUAGAAAAUUAUCGUGCAAGACAUUUUCAAGUAAACCAAAACAGAAGUAAAUUACAUUUAAAAGACAUUCUUUAAAGGAACAUUGGUUCAUGUAGAAGAACAAUGAUCACAGAAGGUCCUUGAUCUAAGAUGCAAGGAGGAAAGGUAAGAAAUACAUACAUAUUUAAAUUUAUAAAUCUAAGCAAAUAUUAUUUAAAUAAACAUUAAUGUUUAGUUUAUGGAGUUUAAGAAAAGGGAAUUAAAAUAUAAAUGUAAAUAGGAGUGAAGAUUCCAAACCAGUAGAGGAGCAAAAAUGAGUAUGGGGUUCCUCUUCAAGUGUGAUGCUGAUGCUGAUUGGGGUGGUGCCUGAAUCCAUAGCAUGACCUCUGGGAGAAAGAAGCUGGCUUUGGAUAAGUCUCUUCUUGUUUUAGGGAUCAGCAUUUUACCAAUAUAUUUCCUCAUGUUUAAAACAAAACCCAACUCUAAUGAAGAUUAAUUUGCAUACCUCCUUGUAGUUUGCUAGGGCCCUUUGCCAUCCUUUUUUUCUAUUAUCGUAAUACAGUCUUAUUGUAAAAAUGCAAAUAAUGCAGAAUUUAUGACAGAAAGUGAAAGUUUCUUUCAUUUAAAAAAAAUUACUCUUUGUUGGGUACUUACCAUGUCCCUUCUAUGUCGUACACAUGCCCUCAUUCCUUUCUUGCAACAACUCUAUAAAUGGCCAUUAUUAUCCCUUUUUUGUGUAUAACUGAAAUGAGGCACACAGAUUACAUCAUCUUUCCAGAAGAUAAAAAAAAAUCAUUCUCUUAAUCACUGCGCUGGACCGCCUUUAAUUCUUGCAUCGUUGACUUGGUUCGCUCGCUUUGGCUCUAUCCAUGAAGGUCUUUGCUCCACGU